rnacentral:rRNA from 1 species
GUAGCGUAUAUUAAAGUUGUUGCAGUUAAAAAGCUCGUAGUUGAAUUUCGGGAUUGGCGCAUCGGUCGUGCCUCACGGGGUAUGAACUGGUGCAGUCAAUUUCUCACCUUCUGGAGAACCGCGAUGUCCUUAAUUGGAUGCCGCGGGGAACCAGGACCUUUACUUUGAAAAAAUUAGAGUGUUUAAAGCAGGCAUUUUUGCUUGAAUACAUUAGCAUGGAAUAAUAAAAUAGGACGGCAUGGUUCUAUUUUGUUGGUUUCUAGGACCACCGUAAUGAUUAAUAGGGAUAGUUGGGGGCAUUGGUAUUGAGUCGCUAGAGGUGAAAUUCUUGGAUUGACUCAAGACCAACUAUUG